rnacentral:rRNA from 1 species
UACGUAGGGUGCGAGCGUUGUCCGGAAUUAUUGGGCGUAAAGAGCUCGUAGGCGGUGUGUCGCGUCGGCCGUGAAAACCUGCAGCUUAACUGUGGGCUUGCGGUCGAUACGGGCAUCACUGGAGUUCGGCAGGGGAGACUGGAAUUCCUGGUGUAGCGGUGAAAUGCGCAGAUAUCAGGAGGAACACCGGUGGCGAAGGCGGGUCUCUGGGCCGAUACUGACGCUGAGGUGCGAAAGCGUGGGGAGCAAACAGG